rnacentral:rRNA from 1 species
UACGAAGGGGGCUAGCGUUGUUCGGAAUUACUGGGCGUAAAGCGCGUGUAGGCGGGUCUUUAAGUCAGGGGUGAAAUGCCAAGGCUCAACCUUGGAACUGCCUUUGAUACUGAAGAUCUUGAGUCCGGGAGAGGUGAGUGGAACUGCGAGUGUAGAGGUGAAAUUCGUAGAUAUUCGCAAGAACACCAGUGGCGAAGGCGGCUCACUGGCCCGGUACUGACGCUGAGGUGCGAAAGCGUGGGGAGCAAACAGG